GGUCAAGCUACAAAGGGCGCAUGGUGAAUGCCUUGGCACUAGGAGCCGAAGAAGGACGCGAUAAGCUGCGAUAAGCCUUGGGUAGCCGCAAAUAGGCUGAGAUCCAGGGAUUUCCGAAUGAGGAAACUCACAUGGGUAACCCCAUGUAUCAUGCACUGAAUACAUAGGUGUAUGAGGGUAAACCCGGGGAACUGAAACAUCUAAGUACCCGGAGGAAGAGAAAGAAAAAUCGAUUUCCUAAGUAGCGGCGAGCGAACGGGAAAGAGCCCAAACCAGAAACUUGUUUCUGGGGUUGCGGAUAGAUCAUAAAAGAAGAGGUAUCUUAAUCGAAGAGGGCUGGAACGCCCUACCAUAGAAGGUAAUAGUCCUGUAGGUAAAAAGAGAAAACUUCAAGAUCUAAUCCAGAGUACCACGAGACACGUGAAACCUUGUGGGAAGCAGGGAGGACCACCUCCCAAGGCUAAAUACUACCUAGUGACCGAUAGUGAAGCAGUACCGUGAGGGAAAGGUGAAAAGAACCCCGGAAGGGGAGUGAAAUAGAACCUGAAACCGUGUGCCUACAACCGAUCGGAGCACGUUAAAGUGUGACGAUGUGCUUUUUGUAGAACGAGCCAGCGAGUUACGCUAUGUAGCAAGGUUAAGUACUUAAGGUAUGGAGCCGAAGGGAAACCGAGUCUGAAAAGGGCGAAAAGUUGCAUGGUGUAGACCCGAAACCGGGUGACCUAUCCAUGGCCAGGUUGAAGCGAGAGUAAAAUCUCGUGGAGGACCGAACCACGUUGGUGUUGAAAAACCAUGGGAUGAGCUGUGGAUAGCGGAGAAAUUCCAAUCGAACUCGGAGAUAGCUGGUUCUCCUCGAAAUAGCUUUAGGGCUAGCGUCGUGUAAUUGAGUAAUGGAGGUAGAGCACUGAAUGGGCUAGGGGCUAUAGUAGUUACCGAACCCUAUCAAACUCCGAAUGCCAUAUACUUGUAUCACGGCAGUCAGACUGCGAAUGAUAAGAUCCGUAGUCAAAAGGGAAACAGCCCAGACCAUCAGCUAAGGUCCCAAAGUGUAAGUUAAGUGGAAAAGGAUGUGGGAUUUCUAAGACAACUAGGAUGUUGGCUUAGAAGCAGCCACUCAUUUAAAGAGUGCGUAAUAGCUCACUAGUCAAGAGAUCCUGCGCCGAAGAUGUCCGGGGCUCAAACUUACCACCGAAGCUAUGGGUGUACACUAUGUGUACGCGGUAGAGGAGCUUUCUGUAUGGGUUGAAGUCGUACCGUAAGGAGCGGUGGACUGUACAGAAGUGAGAAUGCUGGCAUAAGUAGCGAGAAAUAAGUGAGAAUCUUAUUGGCCGAAAACCUAAGGUUUCCUGGGGAAGGUUCGUCCGCCCAGGGUUAGUCGGGACCUAAGCCGAGGCCGAAAGGCGUAGGUGAUGGACAAUCGGUUGAUAUUCCGAUACCGCCUAUUUACGUUUGAGAGAUGGGGUGACGCAGUAGGAUAAGAUGUGCGCACUAUUGGAUGUGCGUCUAAGCAUUUAGGCAUGCUUGAUAGGUAAAUCCGUCGAGCUAAGCUGAGGUGUAAUGGGGAGCCAUUUAUGGCGAAGUAUCUGAUUCCACACUGCCAAGAAAAGCCUCUAUCGAGUGAAUAGGUGCCCGUACCGCAAACCGACACAGGUAGGUGAGGAGAGAAUCCUAAGGCCAUCGGAAGAAUUGCUGUUAAGGAACUCGGCAAAUUGACCCCGUAACUUCGGGAGAAGGGGUGCCUACGAAAGUAGGCCGCAGAGAAUAGGCCCAAGCAACUGUUUAGCAAAAACACAGGUCUCUGCUAAAGCGAAAGCUGAUGUAUAGGGGCUGACGCCUGCCCGGUGCUGGAAGGUUAAGGGGAACACUUAGCGUAAGCGAAGGUGUGAACUUAAGCCCCAGUAAACGGCGGCCGUAACUAUAACGGUCCUAAGGUAGCGAAAUUCCUUGUCGGGUAAGUUCCGACCCGCACGAAUGGCGUAAUGAUUUGGGCACUGUCUCAACAGCAAAUCCGGCGAAAUUGUAGUGCAAGUGAAGAUGCUUGCUACCCGCGAUUGGACGGAAAGACCCCGUAGAGCUUUACUGUAGCUUAGCAUUGAAUCUCGGUAUUGUCUGUACAGGAUAGGUGGGAGACUUGGAAACUUGGGCGUCAGCCUGAGUGGAGUCAUCCUUGGGAUACCACCCUGACAGUACUGGGGUUCUAACCGGCGGCCAUGAAUCUGGUCACGGGACAUUGUUAGGUGGGCAGUUUGACUGGGGCGGUCGCCUCCUAAAAAGUAACGGAGGCGCCCAAAAGUUCCCUCAGCGCGGUCGGAAAUCGCGCGAAGAGUGCAAAGGCAGAAGGGAGCUUGACUGCGACACAUACAGGUGGAGCAGGGACGAAAGUCGGGCUUAGUGAUCCGGUGGUACCUCGUGGGAGGGCCAUCGCUCAACGGAUAAAAGCUACCUCGGGGAUAACAGGCUGAU
rnacentral:rRNA from 1 species